UCGCAUCACCAGGGGCGCUGAAAAGCUGAGACGUACCCUUUGAACCUGAACCAGAUAAUGCUGGCGGAGGGAGGUCACAUGAGCAUUUA
rnacentral:ncRNA from 2 species